rnacentral:rRNA from 1 species
UACGGGGGGAGCAAGCGUUGUUCGGAUUUACUGGGCGUAAAGGGCGCGUAGGCGGUCGUGACAAGUCACUUGUGAAAUCUCCGGGCUUAACUCGGAACGGUCAAGUGAUACUGUCGGACUAGAGUGCAGAAGGGGCAACUGGAAUUCUCGGUGUAGCGGUGAAAUGCGUAGAUAUCGAGAGGAACACCUGCGGCGAAGGCGGGUUGCUGGGCUGAUACUGACGCUGAGGCGCGAAAGCUAGGGGAGCAAACAGG